AUACGUAAGGGGCGAGCGUUGUCCGGAAUGACUGGGCGUAAAGGGCGUGUAGGCGGCGCUGUAAGUCUGGAGUGAAAGUCCUGUUUUCAAGAUGGGAAUUGCUUUGGAUACUGGGGGGCUUGAGUGCAGGAGAGGUUAUCGGAAUUCCCGGUGUAGCGGUGAAAUGCGUAGAGAUCGGGAGGAACACCAGUGGCGAAGGCGGGUAACUGGACUGCAACUGACGCUGAGGCGCGAAAGUGUGGGGAGCAAACAGGAUUAGAUACCCUGGUAGUCCACACUGUAAACGAUGAAUGCUAGGUGUAAGAGGUAUCGACCCCUUUUGUGCCGGAGUCAACACAAUAAGCAUUCCGCCUGGGGAGUACGGCCGCAAGGUUGAAACUCAAAUGAAUUGACGGGG
rnacentral:rRNA from 1 species